AUUGAACGCUUGCGGCCGGCCUAACACAUGCAAGUCGAACGAGUGGCGGACGGGUGAGUAAUGUCUGGGAAACUGCCCGAUGGAGGGGGAUAACUACUGGAAACGGUAGCUAAUACCGCAUACCAUCGGAUGUGCCCAGAUGGGAUUAGCUAGUAGGUGGGGUAACGGCUCACCUAGGCGACGUUCCCUAGCUGGUCUGAGAGGAUGACCGGCCACACUGGAACUGAGACACGGUCCGGACUCCUACGGAAGGCAGCAGUGGGGAAUAUUGCACAAUGGGGGCAAGCCGGAUGCAGCCAUGCCGCGUGUAUGAGGAGGGCCUUCGGGUGGUAAGAUACUUUCAGCGGGGAGGCGUUACCCGCAGAAGAAGCACCGGCUAACUCCGUGCCAGCCGCCGCGGUAAUUC
rnacentral:rRNA from 1 species